ACGGGUGAGUAACGCGUGGAAAACCUGCCGUAUACUGGGGGAUAACACUUAGAAAUAGGUGCUAAUACCGCAUAAGCGCACAGCUUCGCAUGAAGCGGUGUGAAAAACUCUGGUGGUAUACGAUGGUUCCGCGUCUGAUUAGCUAGUUGGUGGGGUAAUGGCCUACCAAGGCAACGAUCAGUAGCCGGCCUGAGAGGGUGAACGGCCACAUUGGGACUGAGACACGGCCCAAACUCCUACGGAAGGCAGCAG
rnacentral:rRNA from 1 species